rnacentral:rRNA from 1 species
CCUACGGGGGGCUGCAGUGGGGAAUAUUGGACAAUGGGGGGAACCCUGAUCCAGCCAUGCCGCGUGUGUGAAGAAGGCCCUCGGGUUGUAAAGCACUUUCAGUGAGGAAGAACGCCUGGUGGUUAAUACCCAUCAGGAAAGACAUCACUCACAGAAGAAGCACCGGCUAACUCCGUGCCAGCAGCCGCGGUAAUACGGAGGGUGCGAGCGUUAAUCGGAAUUACUGGGCGUAAAGCGCGCGUAGGUGGCUUGAUAAGCCGGUUGUGAAAGCCCCGGACUCAACCUGGGAACGGCAUCCGGAACUGUCAAGCUAGAGUGCAGGAGAGGAAGGUAGAAUUCCCGGUGUAGCGGUGAAAUGCGUAGAGAUCGGGAGGAAUACCAGUGGCGAAGGCGGCCUUCUGGACUGACACUGACACUGAGGUGCGAAAGCGUGGGUAGCAAACAGGAUUAGAUACCCCAGUAGUC